CCGCCAUUACAAGCAGGAAAGGUGCGGGGAUUUGAAUAGUCAUUUGGCCUCCGUUUGGUUCGGGGUUAAGGAAAAAGUAGCUAUUCCAGGGAUAGAGUUAAGUUCAGGGUUAAAGUGGAGUUAAAGUUUUUUUGUGUUUGGUUGGGGGUUGGAGUUAGUCUAGAAUAAUGAAAAAUAGUGUUUGGUUGGAGUAGGUGGGAUAAAAAGAUAAUGAUUGAUAAAGAAGGAUAAUGAUUGGUUGGAGUAUGUGUGAUAAGAAAGAUAGUGGGUUAUUAUGAAUAGAAAAUAGUGUUUGGUUGGAGUUUGGUGGGGUUAGGUGGGGUUAACUAACCCGGGAUAAUUUAUUUGAGGUGGGGUUAGCUAACCCCACCCAUUUUUUGGGGUGUUUGGGGAUAAAAUGGGGGUUAAGGGGUUAUUCCACCCCUUAA
rnacentral:lncRNA from 1 species